UGUAUCGUUGCUUUCUAUCAAAUUCAGGAU
rnacentral:piRNA from 1 species